CAGCAGAGGUGUGCGCACCCACCAGGGUUAGGAGAUGGCAGGUGCCUACCUGGCUCCCCAGCCAGCUGACAGGAGGACCACAACCUCCGGAUGGCCUCUGGGAACUUCCACUGGGAACAGGCACAGGGGCCACCACCACCAAUUCUCGCCAGGGAGGAACACCACUGCUCUGCAGUGCUAACACGGGGCCACGCACAGUUGCUCUCCUGGUCCUCCCCGGUCCUCCUCUGCAGCUCUUGUGUCACCGUGGCGCUUGUCAAGAGAAGUUGCAUCCUACCUUCCUCUUGUCCCACUGAGUUUCACCAACUUUUGGAUACAUAUUUGUAUCUAAACCCAUCCUUUCAAGCUCCUCUCACUUGACUGAUCAUUUCUUGGCAUCCCAGGAGAAGGGGGUCAUCGGGGCAAGGAGGAGGAGCCAAAAUAGCAAUAUUAUACAUCGCAUAAACACUUUAAGAAUUGGUAAACGAACGCAACGUGCUUUGCUCCAAUACUUAUCAAACAGAAAAAGGAAUCUGUCUCGGCAUGCUGUAGGAUGAUCAUUAAUUUUUAAUAGUGUUAAUGUUUAUUAGUGACAGAUGAUUGACUUUAAGUGCCUUAUGAAUAAUAAAUAAAUGAUGUGGAUUUUGGGCA
rnacentral:lncRNA from 1 species